rnacentral:lncRNA from 1 species
ACUUCCGGUUUCCUUUCCCUCAGCUAUUCCAUGGCUUUUCGUGUGGACAAAUCGGGAGGUGGUGUAAACUGGUUUUUGGUGAAAUUCGGCUCGGCCUCAUGCGAACCUAUCUAGGUCCGUCUCUGGAGUGGCCUGUCAUCGAUCGCGCCCUCCAUCGCUGAGCGACACAAGUGGAACCCCCCAGGACUGCAUUCUGCGAAACUACCCUGCUUUUCCCCCAGUUUUGGUCUGUGAACACAUUUGGGAAAUUCUUCUGAUCCUACCGCUACUCUCUUGAGAGAGAGAAACAAGGGAAAAAAAAGUUAAUUGCCUGAGGAUAUACUGCUAGUGUUGCGGGACAAAUAGAGACGGGAGAGGCCAAACAGAAUUCAGGACAACCCUUUAUUAUUAAGAUGAAGAAACAGCUCAGAUUUGACCAAGAUCACACAAGUAGGAGUUGAGGAAUUGGAACCCACUAUGACUGACUCCAAAUUAAUAUAGUGUUUAUAGCCACUUACA